UACAGAGGUCCCAAGCGUUGUUCGGAUUCACUGGGCGUAAAGGGCGCGUAGGUGGCCUGUUAAGUCGAACGUGAAAUCCCCGGGCUCAACCCGGGAACUGCGUCCGAGACUGGCAGGCUCGAAUCCGGGAGAGGGAUGUGGAAUUCCAGGUGUAGCGGUGAAAUGCGUAGAUAUCUGGAGGAACACCGGUGGCGAAGGCGGCAUCCUGGACCGGUAUUGACGCUGAGGCGCGAAAGCUAGGGGAGCAAACGGG
rnacentral:rRNA from 1 species